ACUGCUAUCGGAUUGAUACUAAGCCAUGCGAGUCUUUGUAGCAAUACAAGGCAGACGGCUCAGUAACACGUAGUCAAUCUACCCUAUGGACGGGGAUAACCUCGGGAAACUGAGAAUAAUACCCGAUAGAUCAUUAUGCCUGGAAUGGUUUAUGGUCGAAAUGAUUUAUCGCCGUAGGAUGGGACUGCGGUCUAUCAGCUUGUUGGUGAGGUAAUGGCCCACCAAGGCUAUAACAGAUACGGGCUCUGAGAGGAGAAGCCCGGAGAUGGGUACUGAGACACGGACCCAGGCCCUAUGGGGCGCAGCAGGCGAGAAAACUUUGUAAUGUGCGAAAGCACGACGAGGUUAAUCCGAGUGUUUUCUGCUAAAGAAAUCUUUUGUCAGUCCUAAAAACACUGAUGAAUAAGGGGUGGGCAAGUUCUGGUGUCAGCCGCCGCGGUAAAACCAGCACCUCAAGUGGUCAGGAGGAUUAUUGGGCCUAAAGCAUCCGUAGCCGGCCGUGUAAGUUUUCGGUUAAAUCUAUACGCUCAACGUAUAGGCUGCCGGGAAUACUGCACAGCUAGGGAGUGGGAGAGGUAGACGGUACUCGGUAGGAAGGGGUAAAAUCCUUUGAUCUAUUGAUGACCACCUGUGGCGAAGGCGGUCUACUAGAACACGUCCGACGGUGAGGGAUGGAAGCUGGGGGAGCAAACCGGAUUAGAUACCCGGGUAGUCCCAGCUGUAAACAAUGCAAACUCAGUGAUGCACUGGCUUGUGGCCAGUGCAGUGCCGCAGGGAAGCCGUUAAGUUUGCCGCCUGGGAAGUACGUACGCAAGUAUGAAACUUAAAGGAAUUGGCGGGGGAGCACCACAAGGGGUGAAG
rnacentral:rRNA from 1 species